UGUGUCAGGUGCAGAAAUAAACCCAGAUACC
rnacentral:piRNA from 1 species